rnacentral:rRNA from 1 species
AGUAACUGCGAGUGAAGCGGGAAAAGCUCAAAUUUAAAAUCUGGCGGUCUUUGGCUGUCCGAGUUGUAAUCUAGAGAAGUAAUGCCCGUGCUGGACCGUGUAUAAGUCUCCUGGGAUGGGGCGUCAUAGAGGGUGAGAAUCCCGUCUUUGACACGGACUACCAGUGCAUUGUGGUAUGCUCUCAAAGAGUCGAGUUGUUUGGGAAUGCAGCUCAAAAUGGGUGGUAAAUUCCAUCUAAAGCUAAAUAUUGGCGAGAGACCGAUAGCGAACAAGUACCGUGAGGGAAAGAUGAAAAGAACUUUGGAAAGAGAGUUAAACAGUACGUGAAAUUGCUGAAAGGGAAACGCUUGAAGUCAGUCGCGUUGGCCGGGGAUCAGCCUUGCUUUUUGCAUGGUGUACUUUCUGGUUGACGGGUCAGCAUCAAUUUUGACCACUGGAAAAGGCUCAAGGGAAUGUGGCAGCUUCGGCUGUGUUAUAGCCCCUGUUCACAUACAGUGGUCGGGAUUGAGGAACUCAGCACGCCGCAAGGCCGGGUUUCGACCACGUUCGUGCUUAGGAUGCUGGCAUAAUGGCUUUAAGCGACCCGUCUUGAAACACGGACCAAGGAGUCUAACAUGCCUGCGAGUAUUUGGGUGGAAAACCCAAGUGCGCAAUGAAAGUGAAAGUUGAGAUCCCUGUCGUGGGGAGCAUCGACGCCCGGACCAGAACUUUUGGGACGGAUCCGCGGUGGAGCAUGUAUGUUGGGACCCGAAAGAUGGUGAACUAUGCCUGAAUAGGGUGAAGCCAGAGGAAACUCUGGUGGAGGCUCGUAGCGAUUCUGACGUGCAAAUCGAUCGUCAAAU